CUGGGACUGAGACACGGCCCAGACUCCUACGGGAGGCAGCAGUGGGGAAUAUUGCACAAUGGGCGAAAGCCUGAUGCAGCCAUGCCGCGUGUGUGAAGAAGGCCUUCGGGUUGUAAAGCACUUUCAGUUGUGAGGAAAGGGAUGUAGUUAAUAACUGCAUUCUGUGACGUUAGCAACAGAAGAAGCACCGGCUAACUCCGUGCCAGCAGCCGCGGUAAUACGGAGGGUGCGAGCGUUAAUCGGAAUUACUGGGCGUAAAGCGUGCGUAGGCGGUUUGUUAAGCAAGAUGUGAAAGCCCCGG
rnacentral:rRNA from 1 species